rnacentral:rRNA from 1 species
UACGUAGGGGGCGAGCGUUGUCCGAAUUUAUUGGGCGUAAAGAGCUCGUAGGCGGUUUGUCGCGUCGGAUGUGAAAACCCAGGGCUCAACCCUGGGCCUGCAUUCGAUACGGGCAGACUAGAGUAUGGCAGGGGAGACUGGAAUUCCUGGUGUAGCGGUGAAAUGCGCAGAUAUCAGGAGGAACACCGGUGGCGAAGGCGGGUCUCUGGGCCAAAACUGACGCUGAGGAGCGAAAGCGUGGGGAGCGAACAGG